rnacentral:rRNA from 1 species
UGGGGAAUUUUGGACAAUGGGCGAAAGCCUGAUCCAGCAAUGCCGCGUGUGUGAAGAAGGCCUUCGGGUUGUAAAGCACUUUUGUCCGGAAAGAAAUCCUUGGCUCUAAUACAGUCGGGGGAUGACGGUACCGGAAGAAUAAGCACCGGCUAACUACGUGCCAGCAGCCGCGGUAAUACGUAGGGUGCAAGCGUUAAUCGGAAUUACUGGGCGUAAAGCGUGCGCAGGCGGUUUGCUAAGACCGAUGUGAAAUCCCCGGGCUCAACCUGGGAACUGCAUUGGUGACUGGCAGGCUAGAGUAUGGCAGAGGGGGGUAGAAUUCCACGUGUAGCAGUGAAAUGCGUAGAGAUGUGGAGGAAUACCGAUGGCGAAGGCAGCCCCCUGGGCCAAUACUGACGCUCAUGCACGAAAAGCGUGGGGGAGCAAACAGGAUUAGAUACCCUGGUAGUCCACGCCCUAAAACGAUGUCAACUAGUUGUUGGGGAUUCAUUUCCUUAGUAACGUAGCUAACGCGUGAAGUUGACCGCCUGGGGAGUACGGUCGCAAGAUUAAAACUUAAAUGAAUUGACGGGGUCAUAGCUGUUUCCU